ensembl:lncRNA
GGGAGGUGGUUGAGACGGGGGAGGUGGGUGAGACGGGGGAGGUGGGUGAGAGGGGGGAGGUGGGUGAGACGGGGGAGGUUGGUGAGACGGGGGAGGUGGGUGAGAGGGGGGAGGUGGUUGAGACGGGGGAGGUGGGUGAGAGGGGGGAGGUGGUUGAGACGGGGGAGGUGGGUGAGAGGGGGGAGGUGGGUGAGAGGGGGGAGGUGGGUGAGAGGGGGGAGGUGGGUGAGACGGGGGAGGUGGGUGAGAGGGGGGAGGUGGCAGAGGUGGGGGAGGCGGGGGAGGUGAUAGAGGUGGCAGAGGUGGGGGAGGCUUCAUCUUCCGGCAGAAGAACCCACCGGGAGUCUGCCGAUCCCCAGGGGGUGGUUCAGAGUCCUGCUCCGGGACCCACCGACGGAGCGCAGCCUGUUGUCCCGCAGCCUGUUGUCCCGCAGCCUGUUGUCCCGCAGCCUGUUGUCCUGCAGCCUGUUGUCCCCCAGCCUGUUGUCCCGCAGCAGGUCCCCUCCCCGAAGGAACUUGGAGAACAGAGCAGCGACGCCCCCCCUGAGCAGCGUGGGGGUUGUCGUCCGGAGAGCCCAGAGGGACCCACCCAACACGCCAAGUGCAAUAUCAGCAACAGGAACACAGAGGAGCGCAUAGAAGGUCUCUCCGUGCUGAGCUUGGAGUCGAGGGACACGUGUUCAAAAGCCGCCACCAACACUGACAAGGCAAGAGAGAACGGGAAAAUUGUCUGAGGCGAUUUCUGAAAUAAAAAAACUGCAACCAAAACACAGUGUUGACAUCGAAGACUUACCCAGCUGGAGUUUAAAACUUUUACUUCCUGUUUGCCUUUUAUUUAUCUUUUCUAUUGCUUUGUGAAGUUGCCAUUGUGCUGGGCUGUGUGUGUGUGUCCCAAUCGUUGCGUGAGCACAGCAUUGUUGGCAAUCUCACACGUUUGCUACAGUACCCUUAUUAAUAACUUCAACAAAAUGCCAAGUGGCCAUUGAUCAGCAAGUUAAGACAAAGGUCACCUUGCAAUACUAUAGGGGUCAAGGUUGAAAUAGGCUCCCAUCACUAAUAUCCUGGAUGGUGAUGAUAGGUAAACACAUGGGAGCCUAUGUUAUGAGGCCCUGUCACUCGGAGCUAAACAUCUUAAUUUGAACACAGGAACGGAAGAGCGUUUACUGGAAAGAAAUCUUCCCCUCGUUUUGCUUCCAAGCACUUUAAUGACGAGUAUUGUCAUAAUAUACACUGUGUUCGAAUGCUGUUUACUUGCGAGAUUUAUGAAUGUGUCUUUUGUUUACAUUUUAAGGAGGUUUUUUUGGUGGGGGUUUCUGCACCACUUCUUGGUGGGAUGUUCAGUGGUAUUUUGUAUAAAUACGAAAGUAUUCAUAGGUUAAGAUCUGCACAUCUACACAAUAUCCAAGUUGCACACAUUUAACACUGUAGAAUCCAGAUUUUUUUUUUCCAACAUCGUUUUUUAAGGAACAACAUGAACUCUUUCAAAGUCCUUCGGUGACUUUAACCAAGACCUGACUUGGUAAUUCACUCAUGAAGGGUGAAUUACCUUUCUGUAUAUCUAUACAAGUUUUCUAACAAGGAUUUUAAAUGUUAAUAUUACGUUUGAAUCGUCUUUUGUAUUGUGUUACUACAAAGCUAAGCAGCCUUGCAAGACAACUCGCAACGGCUCAACUUGUCCAAUCGGGGCGCAUGGUUGUUGCCAAUCAACGUCAGUGUUUAGAGGUCACUAGCAGAAGCUUAUAGCCUAAAGUAGCAACCUUCCAUAUAAUACUGCUUAACUUCCCUGAACAACACUAAUAUUUUGCACUAGUGUACUUCUCAGUACAUCAUGACUUGGCAUCAGCAGCUUCAAAAGGCCUCCUUUGAUCAAUCAUGAGGACUAUCCCUCUAGUAAGGGCAAUGGAAACUUGAUACAAUAAUAAUAUUUUAAUGUAAGGGUAGGCACUUUUUAUUCAUAUCUGUUGAGAUUCUCUGUACAUCCGGACAGCAAUCAAUAAAUCAAAUGCUGUGACGAAAAAAUACGAAAAUCUGCAAAAAGAAGCCUGUCCAAUCAUUUUAUUCGGCCCGAAUGAAAUGAUUGGAUGGCAUACCCAUCAAUCUACCUACUAGCCAGCAACCUGCACACAAUCUGCCCGCCCAACCAUUGCGCAUAACCAGAGUUGUCCACGAGGCUUUUGAGGGAGGGCUGGAGGAGUGGGAUUUUUCUCGUUUGACGCUUUCAAAUUCAAGCUUACUCUGGCUGCUCUCUCAAAACUGCCUACCCCACCAUUAACACUAAAUAGUUGGCCUCUCACGAUAACCUUUAAACAUGAAGGGUGUAAAAGCCAGAUCGAGUCUCAGUGUUUGAAGACAGCCUUGCUCUGCUUCUAAGUUGAAUUUUAAUGUGUUCACGCGUCGCAGAGUGGGGUUGAUAGUGAUUCAUUUGCACAGCACAUGCUAAUUGCUUUCGUAUUGCGGGCUCGAAAGGGUCUCGCUUUUCUGCCUUAAUUUACAUUGACUAAAGACAUGAAACAUUUCAAGGCUAAUGAGAGCCACCACAUGAACUGAACAAGCGGAAUUGGUUAGUGUUUUUUAUAUUGGGCCCCAAACGCGUUGGCUGUCUUUUGUAAUCGUUAGUGAUAACUAUUGCGUUUUAAGCCAUUGUUGUUCUUAUAGAUUGAAUGUGCCUUACAUAUAAGUUUCUCCAAAUGAGGAAGAGGAAAAACGUUAUGGUAACACCAUACAGUAAUCUGUACUAGCAUAGUGACAGUGCACUAUUGUUAUUUCUGAUUGUAUUUAAUGGCCUUUUCAUAUGGAAACCUGAAUGUUAGAAACUAGGAUUCUGCAAACAGUUUUAACAAUGUUACAUGUUGUGUUUCGAUUCUGUAAAGAUUUAUUUAUUAUCAUGUAAUAUUAAUUUUUUACCAUAGCACUUGACAAUAAUGAAUACAAUUCACGUCACUUUAGUGAUAACAUAGUAUAGUUUAUGUCACUGUUUACCAGAUCAAUAAUAUGCUCUUAGAUACAGCAAGGGUCUAUAAUCGACAGCCUUUUGAAUAUGUAGUGUGCAAAGCAGUGGUCAGAGUCAUUCCAUUUCUCCGUAGAGAAGUAUGGUAUUUGAAGGGUUGCAUGAUCAAGUAUGUGAACUGGGUGUACUGCUGUGAGUACUGUCAACGUUUAGGUUCAGGUAACGUUCUUUAACACAUGGAACACAGACUAUUGCACUGUGUAAUACAUGCUGAUGUCCAACAUUUUCUGAAGUCCUUUUGGACAUCUUUAGUGAAGGCCAUCUAGAAUGUGAUUAAUCAGUUUGUCGACAAUGCAAGGGUCAGUUCUCUCAUAAAUGAUUCAUUCAUGAGAUGGGUCGGUACUGCGAAGCCCAGUUUAGGGUUGUAGGUGAUUGUUUAAGAAGGUUUUGCUUCAGGUAGAUCUUCUCUAUCCUAAUGGCAGAUUUGAAUGGUCUGAUCAUUUUUUGGGAAGGAUGGUUCUGAUUGGACGGAGACUUCCCCGCUCUUUGUUCUCACAUUGUAGGAUAAAGGAAGGCACUGGUUCGUGUUUGUUUUAUUUGAUGCGCACUAGUGAACUGUUGCAUUUACCUGUGUAUGUAAUGUCAAUAGAGCUGUUUUCGCAGUGUUUUUUCUCUUUAAAUGAAAGAAAAGCUCUUGUACGUGGAACAUCUGUGUGCGAUUGUACAUAUAAAACGAUUGAGUGGUGGGAUACAGCGCAUUAAUAAAAGGCUUUCUGUAUUUUAGACAUGACCUGACUUCCUUUUUUUGUCUCGCAACAUCAUCAUUCACCCUCAUUAACCCCACGCCUUCACCACACACCUACACACACACAUACACACACUUCUUUGUUGUUCCUUUAUGUCACUGAUGGGGCUUUGCAAUUACAGCCCAGAUGUCUGAGAGUGAGUGGCUCUGGGCCUGAACUCUCAGGGACCUCCGGCGGGUACACAACAAAACAAAAG